AUUGAACGCUGGCGGCAGGCUUAACACAUGCAAGUCGAGCGGGGGAAGGUAGCUUGCUACUGGACCUAGCGGCGGACGGGUGAGUAAUGCUUAGGAAUCUGCCUAUUAGUGGGGGACAACAUCUCGAAAGGGAUGCUAAUACCGCAUACGUCGUACGGGAGAAAGCAGGGGAUCUUCGCACCUUGCGCUAAUAGAUGAGCCUAAGUCGGAUUAGCUAGUUGGUGGGGUAAAGGCCUACCAAGGCGACGAUCUGUAGCGGGUCUGAGAGGAUGAUCCGCCACACUGGGACUGAGACACGGCCCAGACUCCUACGGGAGGCAGCAGUGGGGAAUAUUGGACAAUGGGGGGAACCCUGAUCCAGCCAUGCCGCGUGUGUGAAGAAGGCCUUAUGGUUGUAAAGCACUUUAAGCGAGGAGGAGGCUACUCUAGUUAAUACCUAGGGAUAGUGGACGUUACUCGCAGAAUAAGCACCGGCUAACUCUGUGCCAGCCGCCGCCGUAA
rnacentral:rRNA from 1 species